rnacentral:rRNA from 1 species
AGAGUUUGAUCAUGGCUCAGGACGAACGCUGGCGGCGUGCCUAAUACAUGCAAGUCAACUGAAGCAGCUGUAGCAAUACGGCUGUGGAGGUGGCGCACGGGUGAGUAACACGUAGGUAAUCUGCCUUCAGGUCUGACACAACUCCGAGAAAUCGGAGCUAAUAUCAGAUUAUGCAGCGGCUUGGCAUCAAGACAGUUGUUAAAGCGCCGAGCAAUCGGUUAGCGCCUGAAGAUGAGCCUGCGCCCCAUUAGGUAGUUGGCGGAGUAAAAGCCCACCAAGCCUGCGAUGGGUAGCUGGUCUGAGAGGAUGAUCAGCCACACUGGAACUGAGAUACGGUCCAGACUCCUACGGGAGGCAGCAGUAAGGAAUAUUGCUCAAUGGCCGAAAGGCUGAAGCAGCAACGCCGCGUGAGGGAUGAAGACCUUAUGGUUGUAAACCUCUGUAGAAGGGGAGAAAUUUCCGGCUCUGCCGGAUUUGAUAGUACCCUUAAAGUAAGCCCCGGCUAACUACGUGCCAGCAGCCGCGGUAAUACGUAGGGGGCAAGCGUUGUCCGGAUUUACUGGGUGUAAAGGGUGCUCAGGUGGUUGUGCAAGUCAGAGGUGAAAUCCUGGAGCUUAACUCCGGAACUGCCUUUGAUACUGCGCAGCUUGUGUACGGAAGAGGCUGAUGGAAUUCCUGGUGUAGCAGUGAAAUGCGUAGAUAUCAGGAAGAACACCAGUGGCGAAGGCGGUCAGCUGGUCCGUUACAGACACUAAAGCACGAAAGCGUG